rnacentral:rRNA from 1 species
CAAACGGGUGGGCCCUCGAAAUCCUUCUUGCGGGGGGAUUCAGUCAGGAAGGGCGGAGGUGUCUGCCGGUUGAUCAGAACGGACCCUUUGAAAGGCCGGGCCGGUUGCACCGUCUCCGUCUUACCUGACGCACUUCCUCCCGCACUAUGGACGCCGCAGCCGGUUGGGUAGCUGCGCGAGUCGGCCAUGAGGGCAGGCGAUGGCAGGUGGCCGGUGGCUUAGCCUCGGCUUCGCCGCCGGUUGUUAGCCGGUUCUUGCCCGUGGCGCGACACCCGACCGAGGUUGAACGGUUCCCUUAAUGGGAACUGGCCUUCCCCUCCUCCACAAGAGUAGCGGGCAUUCCGGCAGGUGUGGCCAGGUGUUGCUUCGUCACUCCCCGUAGUGGCCGGCACUCCGAGCUCACCGCUGGUCGAAAGUUGUCCCGCGGAGGGUUCUACUGGGGCUGGCGGCGAGUAGGUCGGUCACCCACCCGACCCGUCUUGAAACACGGACCAAGGAGUCUAACAUGUGCGCGAGUCAAGGGGUCUUGAUCAGGCCCAGAGGCGCAAUGAAAGUGAAGGCCGUCCUCGACGUCGGCUGUGUUGGGACUCUCCGCCCGCCUCGGCGUGGCGGGGAAGCACCAACGACCCGUCCUAUCCGAUUUAUCGGUUGGGCGGAGUCUGAGCGUACACGUUGGGACCCGAAAGAUGGUGAACUAUGCCUGGGCAGGACGAAGCCAGAGGAAACUCUGGUGGAGGUCCGUAGCGGUUCUGACGUGCAAAUCGAUCGUCAGACCUGGGUAUAGG